rnacentral:rRNA from 1 species
UACGUAGGGUGCGAGCGUUAAUCGGAAUUACUGGGCGUAAAGCGUGCGCAGGCGGUUCGCCAAGCCAGGUGUGAAAUCCCCGGGCUUAACCUGGGAAUUGCGCUUGAAACUAGCGGGCUUGAGUGUGGCAGAGGGGGGUGGAAUUCCACGUGUAGCAGUGAAAUGCGUAGAGAUGUGGAGGAACACCGAUGGCGAAGGCAGCCCCCUGGGUCAACACUGACGCUCAUGCACGAAAGCGUGGGGAGCAAACAGG